rnacentral:tRNA from 1 species
GGAGAGCUGCCGGAGUGGCCGAACGGGACAGUCCCGAAAACUGUUGUGCGGCUUGCUGCACCGAGGGUUCGAAUCCCCCGCUCUCCG